rnacentral:rRNA from 1 species
AGUUUAGCUAAUGUUGCCCGUACCGUAAACCGACACAGGUGGGUGGGAUGAGUAUUCUAAGGCGCGUGGAAGAACUCUCUUUAAGGAACUCUGCAAAAUAGCACCGUAUCUUCGGUAUAAGGUGUGGUUCGCUUCGUAUUAGGAUUUACUCCGAAAGCGAAGAAACUUACAACAAAGAGUCCCUCCCGACUGUUUACCAAAAACACAGCACUCUGCUAACUCGUAAGAGGAUGUAUAGGGUGUGACGCCUGCCCGGUGCUCGAAGGUUAAUUGAUGGGGUUAGCAUUAGCGAAGCUCUUGAUCGAAGCCCGAGUAAACGGCGGCCGUAACUAUAACGGUCCUAAGGUAGCGAAAUUCCUUGUCGGUUAAAUACCGACCUGCAUGAAUGGCGUAACGAGAUGGGAGCUGUCUCAAAGAGGGAUCCAGUGAAAUUGUAGUGGAGGUGAAAAUUCCUCCUACCCGCGGCAAGACGGAGAGACCCCGUGGACCUUUACUACAGCUUGACACUGCUAUUUGGAUAAGAAUGUGCAGGAUAGGUGGGAGGCUUUGAGUAUAUGACGCCAGUUGUAUAUGAGCCAUUGUUGAGAUACCACUCUUUCUUAUUUGGGUAGCUAACCAGCUUGAGUUAUCCUCAAGUGGGACAAUGUCUGGUGGGUAGUUUGACUGGGGCGGUCGCCUCCCAAAUAAUAACGGAGGCUUACAAAGGUUGGCUCAGAACGGUUGGAAAUCGUUCGUAGAGUAUAAAGGUAUAAGCCAGCUUAACUGCAAGACAUACAAGUCAAGCAGAGACGAAAGUCGGUCUUAGUGAUCCGGUGGUUCUGCGUGGAAGGGCCAUCGCUCAAAGGAUAAAAGGUACCCCGGGGAUAACAGGCUGAUCUCCCCCAAGAGCUCACAUCGACGGGGAGGUUUGGCACCUCGAUGUCGGCUCAUCGCAUCCUGGGGCUGGAGCAGGUCCCAAGGGUAUGGCUGUUCGCCAUUUAAAGCGGUACGCGAGCUGGGUUCAGAACGUCGUGAGACAGUUCGGUCCCUAUCUGCCGUGGGCGUAAGAAGAUUGAAGAGAUUUGACCCUAGUACGAGAGGACCGGGUUGAACAAACCACUGGUGUAGCUGUUGUUCUGCCAAGAGCAUCGCAGCGUAGCUAAGUUUGGAAAGGAUAAACGCUGAAAGCAUCUAAGCGUGAAGCCAACUCUAAGAUGAAUCUUCUCUAAGCUCUCUAGAAGACUACUAGUUUGAUAGGCUGGGUGUGUAAUGGAUGAAAGUCCUUUAGCUGACCAGUACUAAUAGAGCGUUUGGCUUAUCUUUAAUAAAGCAU